AAGCUGAUGAAUUUCCCUCUCCCAGAAUUCAGGAGAAUCCAGGCUGGGCCCUUUUCCAGGGAUUUCCUGAGGCUGGCACUGCCUUGGAUCUCAGGAUGGGGCUGGAAUGAGGUCCAGGCUCAGGAUUAAAUUUGUAUUUUGGGGCAUUUUGGGUGUUUCUAAGGAAGGAUGGGGCUGUGAUGUGCUGAUCCAUGUCCUGUGUGAUUCCCACGUGGAUUCUGAUUUUCCUAUGAGGAUCUGACCCCCAACUCGCCAAAAAAAAAGCUGUGAGGACAUAAAAUUCCAGCUGGCUGUGCUGCAAAUGAGAGUAAAAACAAACCAACCAUUUCUAUUUGCUCUGAUCUCUCUUUUAAAGCCUUUCUAAAAUGCCAUAAACUGGGGCCUUUUCCUUUCCACAUUAAAAAUCAUGGGUUGGUUUGGGUUGGGAGGGAUUUUAAAAUCAUCCAUGGCAGAGUUUCACCAUCCCAGGGAGCUCCAAGCUGGCCUUGGACUCUUCCAGGGAUGGAGCAGCCACAGCUCCUCUGGGAAUUCCAUUCCAGGGAAGAAAACCACAAUUAACUGGUGCUUUUAACCAAUUAAAAGAAAACAACUUUCGAAUUUGCUGCUUUAGCAGCUGCUGCUGGUGGUGGGAGGGAUAAAAACCCCCAGAGCCAGGUGGUGCUCAGCUGUUAGAGGAGCUGGAGAUUUGCAAAGUGAAAAAAGUAUAAAUACAAACCCCUGGCUCCUGGAGAUAAACCCCAAUUUGGGUGCCCACCUUGCAGCUGGGCACUGCUGCCUUAUCAAAGGGGGUGUAGCAGUGGGCCUGAGUGCUGAGGCUUUGAUAAGGAGCUCCAGGUCCCCUUAUCAGCUGGGAGGGGCUGUGGGUGCUGCCCCACCCCCAGGAGCCUUUCGCUGCCUGCUGGUUCCUCCCAAAAUUCCUGGGUGCUGUUCCUGCUGUCCAACAGCUGCUCCAGGCUCUGGGAUGGAAGUCCUGGACCAGCCCUGGGGCUCGUUCCUGGAUUUCUUUGGCUGCUGCCACUGAGGGAAUCAGCUCCGUGUUCCCUUGAGGAACAGAGAAUUCCCAGCACAAAUAAGAAAAGGAGGAAGGAGAACAGCCCGUGCUUCCCCCCAGGUACCCAGCAUGUGACCACACCUGGACUCUCUCACCUCAUUUCCAAACCCAACAUUUCAUUUUCCUGCUUUUUCCCGGCUCUGAGGAUGGUUCUCCUCCUUCCCAACACAGCAAUAAAUUACCCUGCAGUAUCAUGGCAAUGGUUAACCUUGAUUUGAGAUCAACACCUCCUUCCCUGCGAGGUCGAACUCCAAACAAUCCUUCGGAGGGGAAUCAAAUGAAAUCAGGAGCUGCUCCCUGAGCCACAAAGACUUUGCCUCCUUCUCCCGGAGAGCACCACAUUUUUCUGAUUUGGGCUGGUUUCAUGGCGGGACAAGGAAAUUGUGUAAGACAUGAGGGGAGAGAAGCGUUUUUGGGGAGCAGGGACACGAGGGGAGCCCCACACAAGGAGUGGGAUCUGCAGGGAGGGAUGGGGGAUGCUGUGGAUCCCAAAAUCAAAGGAAUAAAGUUUUCCUGAGCUCUUCCAUCAGGUUUUUUUCCCCUCACAGUGAGACACAGGCAGGCAGGGGAGGGGUUGGGGCAGCACAGGAGGGGACACCCCCAGGACUCCUCACAAAACCCAAAAAAACCCCAAAAAACCCCUGAUCAGCAGCACAGGAACUAAGUGAAGCUUCUUUGUGCUUUGGGGACAGUUUGGGGCUGCCAUAGGGACGAUUUGGGGCUGCUUUUGGGAACAAUUUGGGGCUGCUUUGGGGAAAGUUUAGGGCUCUUUUGGGGACAAUUUGGGGCUGCUAUAGGGACAUUUUGGGGGUCUUUUGGGUACCCUGCAGGGAAAACAGCCCUUUUGCCCAUGGAAUCUCCAACUCCAGGUCUGAUUAAACCUUCCUCUGCAUCACCAGCGGGUAAUUGCGGAGGGGAGGAAACUUUCGUGAGGGUGCCCGUCCUUUCGUGAGGGAGCCCACCUUUCCGUGAGGGUGCCCGUCCCUUUAUGAGGGAGCCCAUCCUUUCAUGAAGGAGCCCGUCCAUUUGUGAGGGUGCCCGUCCUUUCCUGAGGGAGCCCGUCCUGGCACAAGGGGUGGGUGCCAACUCUGAGGGGCUGUGAGCUCGCACAGGACACGGGACAUUCACAGGUGACACCCCGGGAGUGCCAGGAAUCGCUAAAUCUCCCCUUCCUUCCCCUCAGCACGCCUUUCUCCCCGCGGGCAGACGCCAAUGGCAGGGGGGGGGGGGGGGGGGGGGGGGGGGGGGGGGGGGGGGGGGGGGGGGGGGGGGGGGGGGGGGGGGGGGGGGGGGGGGGGGGGGGGGGGGG
ensembl:lncRNA